GUGCACGCUGGCGGUAGGCCUAACACAUGCAAGUCGAACGGCAGCACAGUAAGAGCUUGCUCUUACGGGUGGCGAGUGGCGGACGGGUGAGGAAUACAUCGGAAUCUACUUUUUCGUGGGGGAUAACGUAGGGAAACUUACGCUAAUACCGCAUACGACCUACGGGUGAAAGCAGGGGAUCUUCGGACCUUGCGCGACUGAAUGAGCCGAUGUCGGAUUAGCUAGUUGGCGGGGUAAAGGCCCACCAAGGCGACGAUCCGUAGCUGGUCUGAGAGGAUGAUCAGCCACACUGGAACUGAGACACGGUCCAGACUCCUACGGGAGGCAGCAGUGGGGAAUAUUGGACAAUGGGCGCAAGCCUGAUCCAGCCAUACCGCGUGGGUGAAGAAGGCCUUCGGGUUGUAAAGCCCUUUUGUUGGGAAAGAAAAGCAGCAGGUUAAUACCCCGCUGUUCUGACGGUACCCAAAGAAUAAGCACCGGCUAACUUCGUG
rnacentral:rRNA from 1 species